GACGAACGCUGGCGGCGCGCCUAACACAUGCAAGUCGAACGAGCGAGAGAGAGCUUGCUUUCUCGAGCGAGUGGCGAACGGGUGAGUAACGCGUGAGGAACCUGCCUCAAAGAGGGGGACAACAGUUGGAAACGACUGCUAAUACCGCAUAAGCCCACGGCUCGGCAUCGAGCAGAGGGAAAAGGAGCAAUCCGCUUUGAGAUGGCCUCGCGUCCGAUUAGCUAGUUGGUGAGGUAACGGCCCACCAAGGCGACGAUCGGUAGCCGGACUGAGAGGUUGAACGGCCACAUUGGGACUGAGACACGGCCCAGACUCCUACGGGAGGCAGCAGUGGGGAAUAUUGCACAAUGGGGGAAACCCUGAUGCAGCGACGCCGCGUGGAGGAAGAAGGUCUUCGGAUUGUAAACUCCUGUUGUUGGGGAAGAUAAUGACGGUACCCAACAAGGAAGUGACGGCUAACUACGUGCCAGCAGCCGCGGUAAAACGUAGGUCACAAGCGUUGUCCGGAAUUACUGGGUGUAAAGGGAGCGCAGGCGGGAAGACAAGUUGGAAGUGAAAUCUAUGGGCUCAACCCAUAAACUGCUUUCAAAACUGUUUUUCUUGAGUAGUGCAGAGGUAGGCGGAAUUCCCGGUGUAGCGGUGGAAUGCGUAGAUAUCGGGAGGAACACCAGUGGCGAAGGCGGCCUACUGGGCACCAACUGACGCUGAGGCUCGAAAGUGUGGGUAGCAAACAGGAUUAGAUACCCUGGUAGUCCACACCGUAAACGAUGAUUACUAGGUGUUGGAGGAUUGACCCCUUCAGUGCCGCAGUUAACACAAUAAGUAAUCCACCUGGGGAGUACGACCGCAAGGUUGAAACUCAAAGGAAUUGACGGGGGCCCGCACAAGCAGUGGAGUAUGUGGUUUAAUUCGACGCAACGCGAAGAACCUUACCAAGUCUUGACAUCCCUUGACAGACAUAGAAAUAUGUUUUCUCUUCGGAGCAAGGAGACAGGUGGUGCAUGGUUGUCGUCAGCUCGUGUCGUGAGAUGUUGGGUUAAGUCCCGCAACGAGCGCAACCCUUAUGGUCAGUUACUACGCAAGAGGACUCUGGCCAGACUGCCGUUGACAAAACGGAGGAAGGUGGGGAUGACGUCAAAUCAUCAUGCCCUUUAUGACUUGGGCUACACACGUACUACAAUGGCGUUAAACAAAGAGAAGCAAGACCGCGAGGUGGAGCAAAACUCAGAAACAACGUCCCAGUUCGGACUGCAGGCUGCAACUCGCCUGCACGAAGUCGGAAUUGCUAGUAAUCGUGGAUCAGCAUGCCACGGUGAAUACGUUCCCGGGCCU
rnacentral:rRNA from 1 species